UACGUAGGGUGCGAGCGUUAAUCGGAAUUACUGGGCGUAAAGGGUGCGUAGGCGGUUUGAUAAGUCUGAUGUGAAAUCCCCGGGCUUAACCUGGGAACGGCAUUGGAGACUGUCAAGCUAGAGUGCGUCAGAGGGGGGUAGAAUUCCACGUGUAGCAGUGAAAUGCGUAGAGAUGUGGAGGAAUACCGAUGGCGAAGGCAGCCCCCUGGGAUGACACUGACGCUGAAGCACGAAAGCGUGGGGAGCAAACAGG
rnacentral:rRNA from 1 species